ACAAAAAAAGAAAAACUAAAUUAAUGUAAAUAAAUAUCACAAAUUGCUCAAGUUUCAAAUACCAGAGCAAAGCAAGACAGCAAAUAUUUGCCUUAAACAUAUUGAAUAGCAUAACCGAAACAAGUUUAAGCAAAUUAUAUAAUUGCUGUCACAUAUCAUCACAGUGAGCACAGUUAUAUUUCAAAUGGCUUUUAACUGGUUUUCAUAUUUGGGACCGGUAAUUAUCAUGCAAAAGUUCACAAGAGACCAGGAACAUGUAAGAGGCAAAAGUAAAAAGUCAAACAAAACAAAAAACAAAAAAACAGAAAUUACGAGCACUUUGGGUGCUUACAGAUAUGGCGAAAACGACUUCUACACAGACAAUAAUAGAGCCAACUUAAAAGGUAGCUGACAUUUGAUGGGCUGCGGCCCGCGACAGAGCCUACCACAAAUAUGGCCAAGGCACGCGUGAUUUAUGGCCAAGUCGAGUGCGUUGUGCGUUUGUACGUUGUAAGCUCUACGCUCCAUACGCAUUGCCUAUGGCGUCUCGGAGAUCUAUCUCGCUCCCGGCAAAUUGCGUGCGGUUAAGAAUGUGUGUGCGUAUGUGUGUGUAUGUGUGUGUGUGUGUGUGUGUGAAUGUGUGUGCUUUGGGCGGGCUUUAACAUUUGCGCGUCAAUGUUAAUUCACCACAAGCA